rnacentral:lncRNA from 1 species
UUCUGUUAGUCCCAGCCCUUUCAGGAAUAUUCUGUUAGCUCCGCCCCUGUUUCUGUGAGCAUGCUCGCCUACCCUGUAGCCCCCUAUAUAAGGAGGCUCCUGUUUUUACUCAAGCGCUGAGACUUGUAUGAGCGCAGACAUAGGAGGCUGUGACACUGAGCUGUAACACUUGGCUGUAGCACCUAGUUGUUCGGCUUGCCAGAACAUUUUCAUUGUCUACUGUCCAUCACCCUCAGAAGAUCCUGCCCAACCAGAGGCAAUCACUGCUCUGAUUUCGUCACCCAUGGCAAAGCAGAAGCCGAGGGCUCCAUGCCUCUAUAGUAUGGUGUGAGACCACAGUAGUUCAGUCUGGUGGAUGGCAGUGCUAUCCCCCGAGCUGCUCAGCGAAUAACCCCAGGAAGCCUGGAGAGAUUUCCCCAAGCUUUUUCCUCCCAGUAAUCAGGUAGGUUCUGUGGACUGUCGCUAACCAAAUUACAUCUUGAUCC